UAAGAAACAGCAUAACAUUGAUUCACAGCAGCAGCCAGCAAGCAUAUUCAGGAUGGCCUAGUCUGCCAUUGCAUUGUCACAAAAGCAUAAAGACAUUUUUCAAAGAGAAGUGAGCAAGUGCUGCUGCAUUUGGACCGUGCAACGUAUUAAAAUUAAGAAGAGUGAUCAAUGUAGCACAUUGAAGCCAGGCAAAUCUUUGUUGUGGUGUUAUGAGCAGCUACUAGGCCUUGCCAUGGUCCUUUGUACGAAAUUUCUGUCCACCUGCAAAAUCCUUGCCAAAUUCAAUCAAUCUGAUCAAGAAAUAUUUGGAGGAGAAUGAUGUUGCUCAGACCAACAAAAUUAAAGAGAGAUUGACUGGAAAUAUAGUUAGUGCUUGAUUUUUGAUGAACCGCCAAAUGUUCUCAACCGUGGUGAUUUGUUUUCAUUUAUUGUAGAGAUGCUUGCACUCAUUUUGGCAGAUUUGGAGUUUGUAAAGUCAGCAAACAGUCAAACUGUUGCAGCUUCUGUCAGUAACACUUUAAAUGAAUAUGCACUUACCUGGAAGGAUGUAGCAAAAGUGAAUUCUGACUCAGCUUCUUACUUUGGAAAGUUCACACAAGAUGUAAAGCUGAAUGAAAAACCUGAAUUGCUUCAUUUGUCUUGCCCAGCUCACCUGCCGCACGUUGCUGUCUCUCAUGCAACAGGUGUUCCCAAAAUGGCUGAUUUUAAAAAGUUUGUAACCUGCUGGUGCAGUUUUCAAGCAUGCCAGUAAAACCAAAAACCUCUUCUAUGAUGUCUGUGAAGAAAUCAUGUUUGAAUGCAGCAUUCCAUUUCCAGUUGUACCAACAAGGUGGUUUAGUCUGUAUUUGGCUCCACAGAAUGUUCAGAAGGCAUGGAGUGUCUUAACGCGACUUUUACAUCAUGAAGAGCUCCACAGUGAAAAAAGCCAAAAAGCUGAAAUCUCAAGUGACUACACAAAAAAUUAGACAAAACCUUCAUACAAAACUCCAAUUACUGACUGAAACACUUCAACCACUACAUGAAGCACAGAAGAAAUUAGAAUACAAUUCUUUAACAUACAGCACAUUUUCUAAUACAGAGGUGUAUGGCAUUCUGGUUAACAAUUUCUAUCUCAAAAAAGCACAUCUGGGGAGAUUCCAGGAAAAAAACCCACACACCCAACUUUUCAUAUGUUGCCAGUCACUGAGCAGGACAACCUUGAAAAAGCUUUCAAAAGUUUUACGAAAAGCUGUCAAAGAAACAGGAAGCUACUGUCACUCGCAAUAUGUCCCCUGAAGCUUUUCACAGUGAAUCAUCAUUCUGGAAAGUCAUUGUGCUGUUUGACCCUCAUCAUAAAAGUGUGGCCUGAGCUGAUAAAUCUCACUCUUUGUGGAUUCUAACAAAGGAAGUGCAAAACUGGAAAGUGAAUUCCAUGCCUAUGGCAAUGUCUUCCCUGAACAACCGCUCCAUCACUCCUCCUGAAUUCUGAAAAAUCCACCACACUGACUUUCCAACUUUGAGGCGUGCUGCUUCUCGCAUCCUCAGUGUCCCACCUGGCUCAGCUGAUGUGGAGAGAGUAUUUUUGAAAUUUGUCUACAUCCAAGACCAUAGGAGAAUGGGCCUUGGAAAUGACUCCUUAAAAAGACUGCUGCUAGCUACACUAUGCAGGAAAAGUUUUGGAAAUUACACUGAAGGACUUCACAUAAAACAGCAGAAGUGACCAGUGAAAUUACAAAGUUGUGAGGAGCACCAGCACAGAGGGUCUGGAGAUUCCCAAUAGCAUCCACUAUCACAAAUGCCAUAGCACUUACAAUGACAAUAUACCUACAGGAGGAGGAGGUAAGAGCCAUGUGGCUGAAAUGAAAUAAGAAUGAAUAGUGGGAGUGACACUGUAUCUCUGGACUGAUGGAUUCUGACAGGAGGAGUUCUGAGUGAUUGGACAGAGAUCCCCAAAGGCAGUUUGGGUAUCCCUGAAAGAUUUAUGGAAAACUAGCAAAUUACUGCACCUCUGCAAUCAUUUAGCCCUA